rnacentral:tRNA from 1 species
GGGGAGGUGCCGGAGUCUGGCUGAUCGGGACCGCCUGCUAAGCGGUUGUUGGGGCUAAAACCUCAACCGAGGGUUCGAAUCCCUCCCUCCCCG